rnacentral:lncRNA from 1 species
ACAUGAUUUUUGAAUGAAUACAAAUAUUAAUAGCAUACAUACGGUUUUGAAUACAAAUUGAGAAAUGAUACAAAAUUCUGAAAAAAAUUAUAAAAAAACAAAACAAACUAAUAGGAAGUUGUUCUUCCUAUAAAUAAAAUACAUAUCUAGUUGACAUACCUGUGGGAUGAACUCAAAUUAGAAACAAAUACAAGAUUUAUAAACUAUGCAACAUGAGAUUUUGAAUGAAUACAAAUAUUAAUAGCAUAAAUACUGAUUUGAUAUUAAUUGAGAAAGGAUACAAAAUUCUAAAAAAACUAUAAAUACAAAACAAAACUA